AAUCCGCUUCUCGCGAAGCAUGAGCUGUGAUGGGGAAGGAAAUUAAGUACGGAAGUUCCUGAUUUCACGCUGUCAAGAAAAGCCUCUAGGAAGAGUAGUACUGCCCGUACCGCAAACCGACACAGGUAGAUGAGGAGAGAAUCCUAAGGUGAGCGAGAGAACUCUCGUUAAGGAACUCGGCAAAAUGACCCCGUAACUUCGGGAGAAGGGGUGCUCUAUUAGGGUGCAAGCCCGAGAGAGCCGCAGUGAAUAGGCCCAGGCGACUGUUUAGCAAAAACACAGGUCUCUGCAAAACCGUAAGGUGACGUAUAGGGGCUGACGCCUGCCCGGUGCUGGAAGGUUAAGAGGAGUGCUUAGCUUCGGCGAAGGUACGAAUUGAAGCCCCAGUAAACGGCGGCCGUAACUAUAACGGUCCUAAGGUAGCGAAAUUCCUUGUCGGGUAAGUUCCGACCCGCACGAAAGGCGCAACGAUCUGGGCACUGUCUCAACGAGAGACUCGGUGAAAUUAUAGUACCUGUGAAGAUGCAGGUUACCCGCGACAGGACGGAAAGACCCCGUGGAGCUUUACUGCAACCUGAUAUGGAAUGUUUGUACCGCUUGUACAGGAUAGGUAGGAGCCGA
rnacentral:rRNA from 1 species